rnacentral:rRNA from 1 species
GAUGAACGCUGGCGGCGUGCCUAAUACAUGCAAGUCGAGCGAACGGACGAGAAGCUUUCUUCUCUGAUGUUAGCGGCGGACGGGUGAGUAACACGUGGAUAACCUACCUAUAAGACUGGGAUAACUUCGGGAAACCGGCGCUAAUACCGGAUGAUAUUUUGAACCGCAUGGUUCAAAAGUGAAAGACGGUCUUGCUGUCACUUAUAGAUGGAUCCGCGCUGCAUUAGCUAGUUGGUAAGGUAACGGCUUACCAAGGCAACGAUGCAUAGCCGACCUGAGAGGGUGAUCGGCCACACUGGAACUGAGACACGGUCCAGACACCUACGGGAGGCAACAGUAGGGAAUCUUCCGCAAUGGGCGAAAGCCUGACGGAGCAACGCCGCGUGAGUGAUGAAGGUCUUCGGAUCGUAAAACUAUGUUAUUAGGGGAGAACAUAUGUGUAAGUGACUGUGCAGAUCGUGACGGUACCUAAUCAGAAAGCCACGGCUAACUACGUG